GUAAUCUCUCCAAGUCCACCAGACAUUCAGACAGAAGCAAGGAAGAGAAGAACAGGAAGUCCUUCAAAUGGAAUCCACUGGCAAGGCUGAUCUUUGUGACCCACUUUUGAUAUAUGAGAGGAAGACUUUGCAUUCAAAAAAAUUCCAAUUUUCUCACAGCUGAGGCAGAGAAGGAGAAAAAGGAAUUUACCUGUGUAUGAUCCACCUGAGCUAACUGGGAAGAUGAGAGAGACCUUCGAGGCAGGUUCAGAACACAAUCCAUUUCUGGGUUUGCAACUGAGGUGUUGAGAGAUGCUACAGAAAAGGACAAAGACCGAAGAGCACGCAGUUAUAUCAGACUGGAGUGAAUCAGUGAAACAAGAUAUUAACCCACUUGAAGACCCCUGAGGCCUCCAGCCUUUCCCCUUGGAUAACUCUGAAAGGCGUCCAGUGAGUUCCAGUUUGGGCAGGGGUUUGUUUAUUCUGCUUGGUUCAAAUCAGGGCUAUGGAUCCCUCAUGGUUUUCAUGUCCCUAAAGGUUUUCCA